rnacentral:snRNA from 1 species
CAACUCUGGUUUCUCUUCAAUCACGCACAAGUUUUUCGCCUUUUACUAAAGACUUUCCGUGGAGAGCAAACGCUCACGAGUUCAACGUAUUUUUGGACGGGCUUUGCUCCCGGCAGAGCC